UACGGAAGGCAGCAGUGGGGAAUAUUGCACAAUGGGCGAAAGCCUGAUGCAGCUAUGCCGCGUGUAUGAAGAAGGCCUUAGGGUUGUAAAGUACUUUCAUCGGGGAGGAAAAAACAAAACUAAUAAUUUUAUUUCUUGACGUUACCCGAAAAAGAAGCACCGGCUAACUCCGUGCCAGCAGCCGCGGUAAUACGGAGGGUGCUAGCGUUAAUCAGAAUUACUGGGCGUAAAGAGCACGUAGGUGGUUUUUUUAAAGUCAGAUGUGAAAUCCCUGGGCUUAACCUGGAACUGCAUUUUGAAACUGAAAUACUAGAGUAUCGUAGAGGGAGGUAGAAUUCUAGGUGUAGCGGUGAAAUGCGUAGAUAUCUGGAGGAAUCCUGUGGCGAAAGCGGCCUCCUAAACGAAUACUGACACUGAGGGUGCGAAAGCGUGGGGAGCAAACAGGGAUUAGAUACC
rnacentral:rRNA from 1 species